UACGUAGGGUGCAAGCGUUGUCCGGAAUUAUUGGGCGUAAAGAGCUCGUAGGCGGUUUGUUGCGUCGGCUGUGAAAUCCCUCAGCUUAACUGGGGAACUGCGUCUGAUACUGGAUGGCUUGAGUUUGGGAGAGGGAUGCGGAAUUCCAGGUGUAGCGGUGAAAUGCGUAGAUAUCUGGAGGAACACCGGUGGCGAAGGCGGCAUCCUGGACCAAUACUGACACUGAGGAGCGAAAGCCAGGGGAGCAAACGGG
rnacentral:rRNA from 1 species